AUGAAAUCUUUGUGGUUUUUCCUCUUUCUGGUGGCAGUCCCCAGAUAUGUCCUGUCCCAGGCAAAACUGAAGGAGUCAGGACCUGGCCUGGUGAAGCCCUCGGAGACCCUGUCCCUCACCUGCUCUGUCUCUGGAUUCUCUUUAACUGAUUAUGCUGUAAGCUGGAUCCACCAGGCUCCAGGAAAGAGACUGGAGUGGGUUGGAGUGAUAAACUAUGCUGGAAGCAUGAGCUACAAACAAACUCUUCAGUCCCAACUCAGCAUCAUCAGGAACACCUCAAAGAAUUGA